GGCACAGUGGCUUAGUGGCUUACUGCCGCCUCACACCUCUGGUGCUGGGGGUUCGAAUCCCACCUCUGCCC